rnacentral:SRP_RNA from 2 species
GACUGGUCCCCACGCGGCAAGGCCCGUAAACCCCGCCAGGUCCGGAAGGAAGCAACGGUAGCGGAUCUCCUUGGGCGCCGUGGUUCAGGCUGGUCUGA